UACAGAGGGUGCAAGCGUUAAUCGGAAUUACUGGGCGUAAAGCGUGCGUAGACGGUUACGUAAGUCAGAUGUGAAAGCCCCGGGCUCAACCUGGGAAUUGCAUUUGAGACUGCGUAGCUAGGGUGCGGAAGAGGGAAGCGGAAUUUCCGGUGUAGCGGUGAAAUGCGUAGAUAUACGGAAGGAACACCAGUGGCGAAAGCGGCUUCCUGGCCAG
rnacentral:rRNA from 1 species